GGAUGUGAGGGUGAUCUGGCUGCGACAUCUGUCACCCCAUUGAUCGCCAGGGUUGAUUCGGCUGAUCUGGCUGGCUAGGCAGGUAUCCCCUUCCUCCCUCACCGCUCC
rnacentral:sRNA from 1 species